rnacentral:rRNA from 1 species
AGCGCCAGGGAAUUACGAGCAAUGCUUAAAACCCAAAGGAUUUGACGGUAUCCCAUCCACCUAGAGGAGCCUGUUCUAUAAUCGAUAACCCCCGCUAUACCCAACCACUCCUAGCUUAUCAGCCUGUAUACCUCCGUCGAAAGCCUACCAUGUGAAUGUUCUUAGUAAGCUUAAUGUCCCCGUCAAAACGUCAGGUCAAGGUGCAGCUCAUGGGGUGGGAAGAAAUGGGCUACAAUUUCUAAUCUAGAACACACGAAAAACUAGGUGAAACCCUAGUCAUGAAGGCGGAUUUAGCAGUAAAAGGAAAAUAGAGUGUUCUUUUUAACCUGGCCCUGGGAUGUGUACACACCGCCCGUCACCCUCUUCGACUGUAUUCAACACUGUUUUAUAACUCCCUUCCACAUUCUAGAAGAGGCAAGUCGUAACAUGGUAAGUGUACUGGAAAGUGCACUUGGCUAAACAA